GGGAUUUGCAGAUCUGCGGACUUUUAAUCCGUUGGUCGCGAGUUCGAGUCUCGCUCAGCCCACCA
rnacentral:tRNA from 1 species